UACAAUUGAGCAUAUUGAAAAACUUGCAUUUUAGGUUUCGAGCAACACUGACUUUGAUCCGGCCGUCUACAGUCUGGCCAACUACCGAAACCAAACCGUCUUCGAUUAUGAGUCGUACGUAUUCCAGACCUUAAACCUGUCAACCGCCAAUUCUGCGCAGCAGGUUUGUCACGACAACUUUUGCUGCAACUUUAACAUUUCCGUAGCAGAAAACUCAACCGAAGUGUAUAGAUUAGUGGCUUUUAAUGGAGGCUCCCAGUUUGCGGAUAAGUUUUGCGCAGUCGUAGCUUGUCUCAACCAGGAUGUCGCCUCUUGUGGAGUGCGUCCUCUAGUUGCGUAUGCCACCGUGUUCCGCCAAAUCACCGUCUGGGGCCAAUGGGAGGCUCGGGAUGAGGAAUUUUACCGGCCAAUAAGUUUACGUGGUAACUUGGAGCCCGCGUACAACGCUACCUACCAACAAAGCAGAACAAACGAGACAGUGGGAGUAAAUUUUAAUAUGACGGUGCCCGUCAAUAACGUUGUUGUAUUUGGAUUGUUCGUGAGAAGUGCCGCACCGAUAAGUUUUACACUGAGCGUGGGAUUGCUGAGCAUGAUCGUCUUCAUCCAGGGCAUCGCUUAGUUGCUCCGAUCUACUCGUUGGCACGCCUGAUUAUCCAAACACCAAAGCUUGCAGGGGUCCACAAAAUGCCUAUUAAUUGAACAUUAUGGAAUACUAUUUGUUUUAAAAUACCUGAUAGUAGGGCUAAACCUACACAUUUAGUACCUAUGCAUGCAGGUCACCCUAGAAUAAAAACCCACUUGAUUUGGUAGAUAAUGAAGCGACACACUUGGACUAUGUAUGAGAAAACCUAUAACGUAUGAACAGAUAUUUAUUUAAGAACCGUCCUAUAAAUACGCAUAUUAAAAUAAAACACUUAAACCAUUAAACAUUGGCUGCCUGAAACAGUGUCAAUAAACUUGGUAACUAAUU
rnacentral:lncRNA from 1 species